rnacentral:rRNA from 1 species
CAGGAUGAACAGUAUUCAAAUUCUGGUAGCUGCGGGGCGGACGCAGAUGGAUCUGAAAGUGCGAACGCACCGGCCGAUCAGCAAGGUCUGCACGCUGCCCUGGAUGAUUCUUCUUCCAGCGCCAGGAGUGGAGACCCCCCCGCCCCAACUUCACGCAUCUCUCUGAAGCACGCUAUCAGUGUCAUCAAGACUUUCAGUGACUACAAGAAAUGGCUUGUGGAAGAGAUUGGUUUCGGAGGUAUGCUCAAGCUCCCCGACAUUCAGAAGUUAAAUCUCAGAUGCAGUGCCUGGAUUAUGAGCAGGGUUAGUGUUAGCCGUAGAGAGUUCAGGCUGUCAGAAAGUAAAGUGCUCAAGUUCUAUGCCGAGGAGUAUAAGGUCUUUGGCAUCCCUUGCGGGAACCGUAGCGUGAAAGGGAGAGAUGAAAAUAUCAAUCUAGAAGCAAUCCACUUCAUCAAGUCAACCCUUGAAAUGGAUAAGACAGGAGUGCAUAGCUUGCGCGCGGUAGAACAAUUCCUGAUGCGUGAUAUCAAUGAGAAUUCUAGCAAGCUCGAGAAAGAUUGUUUUCAAAUUGCAUUUGUCAUAUUUGUCAUGGGUCAUGUACUCGCUCCGACCACAAAGCACAACUACUCGACCAUUGAUUUCUGGGGGGCAAUUGCCAACACUGAAAUGAUACAGCAGUUCAACUGGUGUGAGUAUGUCCUCCAGUAUUUGCUUGAUGCAGUACGAAAACUCAAGAGAGAUAUGCUGAUGAACAAUCAUUCAACCAACCUCACCGGAUGCCAUUUCUUCUUUCAGGUAGACGUAGUGUAA